AACGAACGCUGGCGGCAUGCCUAACACAUGCAAGUCGAACGAGAACUUCGGGACUUGUGGCGCACGGGUGCGUAACGCGUGGGAACCUGCCCUUAGGUUUGGAAUAACUCCCCGACUGGGGUGCUAAUACCGGAUAAUGUCUUCGGACCAAAGAUUUAUUGCCUUUGGAUGGGCCGGCGUUGGAUUAGCUUGUUGGUAGGGUAAAAGCCUACCAAGGCGACGAUCCAUAGCUGGUCUGAGAGGCUGGGCAGCGACACUGAGGCUAGGACGCGGCCCGGACUCCUACGGGAGGCAGCAAUGGGGAAUAUUGGACAGUGGGCGGAGGGCUGAAGCAGCAAGGCCGCGUGAGUGAUGAAGGCCUUAAAGAAGUAAAGCUCUUUUACCCGGGAUGAUAAUGACAGUACCGGAAGAAUAAGCACCGGCUAACUCCGUG
rnacentral:rRNA from 1 species